rnacentral:rRNA from 1 species
UAACCGCUGAAAGCAUCUAAGCGGGAAACUUGCCUCAAGAUGAGAUCUCACUGGAACCUUGAGUUCCCUAAAGGGCCGUCGAAGACUACGACGUUGAUAGGCUGGGUGUGUAAGCGUUGUGAGGCGUUGAGCUAACCAGUACUAAUUGCCCGUGAGGCUUGACCAUAUAACACCCAAACAAUU